rnacentral:rRNA from 1 species
AACGAACGCUGGCGGCAUGCCUAACACAUGCAAGUCGAACGAGACUUCGGUCUAGUGGCGGACGGGUGAGUAACGCGUAGGAACCUGCCAAGCAGUGGGGAAUAACAGCUGGAAACGGCUGCUAAUACCGCAUACGCCCUUUGGGGGAAAGAUUUAUCGCUGUUUGAGGGUCCUGCGUUCGAUUAGCUAGUUGGUGAGGUAACGGCCCACCAAGGCGACGAUCGAUAGCUGGUCUGAGAGGAUGAUCAGCCACACUGGGACUGAGACACGGCCCAGACUCCUACGGGAGGCAGCAGUGGGGAAUAUUGGACAAUGGGGGAAACCCUGAUCCAGCAAUGCCGCGUGCGUGAAGAAGGCCUUAGGGUUGUAAAGCGCUUUCACCUGUGAUGAUGAUGACAGUAGCAGGAGAAGAAGCCCCGGCUAACUCCGUG